rnacentral:misc_RNA from 1 species
GAUGAAGAAGUAGCGAAAUGCGAUAAGUAAUGUGAAUUGCAGAAUUCAGUGAAUCAUCGAAUCUUUGAACGCACAUUGCGCCCCUUGGUAUUCCGAGGGGCAUGCCUGUUCGAGCGUCAUUAUAACCCCUCAAGCUCAGCUUGGUGUUGGGGCCUGCUGCACUGGCAGCCCUUAAAAUCAGUGGCGGCGCCAUCUGGCUCUAAGCGUAGUAAUUCUUCUCGCUAUGGAGUCCUGGUGGAUGCUUGCCAUCAACCCCCAAUUUUUCUAUGGUUGACCUCGGAUCAGGUAGGGAUACCCGCUGAACUUAAGCAUAUCAAUAAGCGGAGGA